GACGUAGGGCGCGAGCGUUGUCCGGAUUUAUUGGGCGUAAAGAGCUCGUAGGCGGCUUGUCGCGUCGACUGUGAAAACCCGCGGCUCAACCGCGGGCCUGCAGCCGAUACGGGCAGGCUAGAGUUCGGUAGGGGAGACUGGAAUUCCUGGUGUAGCGGUGAAUGCGCAGAUAUCAGGAGGAACACCGGAUGGCGAAGGCAGGUCUCCUGGGCCGAUACU
rnacentral:rRNA from 1 species